GUGGGGAAUCUUAGACAAUGGGGGAAACCCUGAUCUAGCCAUGCCGCGUGAGCGAUGAAGGCCUUAGGGUUGUAAAGCUCUUUCAGCUGGGAAGAUAAUGACUGUACCAGCAGAAGAAGCCCCGGCUAACUCCGUGCCAGCAGCCGCGGUAAUACGGAGGGGGCUAGCGUUGUUCGGAAUUACUGGGCGUAAAGCGCACGUAGGCGGACCGGAAAGUCAGAGGUGAAAUCCCAGGGCUAAACCUUGGAACUGCCUUUGAAACUCCUGGUCUUGAGGUCGAGAGAGGUGAGUGGAAUUCCGAGUGUAGAGGUGAAAUUCGUAGAUAUUCGGAGGAACACCAGUGGCGAAGGCGGCUCACUGGCUCGAUACUGACGCUGAGGUGCGAAAGCGUGGGGAGCAAACAGGAUUAGAUACCCCUGUAGUCC
rnacentral:rRNA from 1 species